UAAUAACUUUUAUUUUGAUUAUUAUUUCUUGUUUCUUUCUAAAAGUCAGUGUAACUCAAUAAUGUCACAUUCCCUCAGGAUCACCACAAAUAUCAUUCUUUUUCUUUUUCAUAUUUUAGAGUUUAAUUGCUUCAUUUUGUUUGUUUUGAAACAUUUAUCCAGAUAUAUUUUAAGAAAGAAAAUAUCUGUGGCACAGCAUUUUUAUAUGGAGCAUAAUUAAUCAACUAAAUAUAUUAUUUGCCAAAUUAAUAUUUUUUCAUGUAAUUUGUUACACUAAAGGAGUGAUUUUUGUCAACUUAUUCCCCAAUCUUCAGCUGACUGGAAAUCUUUGAAAGAAAGAUAAUAAAGGUAACAUAUUUUAUUAGAUAUCAUUAAGAGAGAUGAUUCUACAAAAUCCAAGCUUGCAGGACUUCUAUCAUCAUUAUUUUUUUAAAUAACCAUUUAAAAAAAAACUUUUCUGGAGCUGAAGCAGGGAUCUCAACCUGAAUGCAAAGAUUCAGAGCAGUCUGGACAAUUAGUAAAAUGGAAUGUGGAAACCUGUUGACAUCCCAAGUAGGCUGUCUUUGUCCAACACUGAAUCUCCAUUGCCAACAAAUUUCUCAGUAGAUGUUUGUUGAAUCAAUAGGAUAAUGGAAGGAUCAUUGAAUGGAUGGACAGAUAAAGGAGAAUAAAGAUAAUUAAGAAAUGUCACAGGAUUCCACAAGAAAGCGGUUUCUGGAUUAUCAGAAGGUGGAUCACCCUAAUAAACAGAGGAUCUACUGCUGGUAUUUGUUUCCUGUCCUGACUUCAUCAAACUCAUGUCCAAGGUUUGUGCAUCUUCAAUCACAGUCAGGAUACAGAAUACAGGACUUUGGGAGGCUGAGGUAGGCGGAUCACUUGAGGUCAGGAGUUCCAG